CCUACGGGAGGCAGCAGUGAGGAAUAUUGGUCAAUGGACGAGAGUCUGAACCAGCCAAGUAGCGUGAAGGAUGACUGCCCUAUGGGUUGUAAACUUCUUUUAUAAAGGAAUAAAACGAGGCACGUGUGCCUUUUUGCAUGUACUUUAUGAAUAAGGAUCGACUAACUCCGUGCCAGCAGCCGCGGUAAUACGGAGGAUCCGAGCGUUAUCCGGAUUUAUUGGGUUUAAAGGGAGCGUAGAUGGGUUGUUAAGUCAGUUGUGAAAGUUUGCGGCUCAACCGUAAAAUUGCAAUUGAUACUGGCAGUCUUGAGUACAGUUGAGGUAAGCGGAAUUCGUGGUGUAGCGGUGAAAUGCUUAGAUAUCACGAAGAACCCCGAUUGCGAAGGCAGCUUACUAAACUGUGACUGACAUUGAUGCUCGAAAGUGUGGGUAGCAAACAGGAUUAGAUACCCUAGUAGUC
rnacentral:rRNA from 1 species